CAGGGAUUGAACCUGCAUCUCUGGCAUUUCCUGUAUUGGCAGCUAAAGAAAACAGAAGAUCGAGACAGGCUAAAUGAAGACCACAAAGCCAGUCAAUGUGGAGCUGAAUCUGAGACUGAGGACUUCUGAUGCCUGGUUCAAAGAGCAAGCAGAAAGAUAAAAUAGUAGCAUACUGGAUUCAUUAAAUAGCAAUGAUAAUAAUGAUGACGAUGAUGAUAGCAAAUACUUAUUCAGUACUUAUGUGCCAGGCACUGUUUCAAGCAGUUUACAUUUAUUAACCCAUAUCAUCCUUAUGAGACUAUGAGGAAGGUAUUACCAUCAUCUCCAUUUCACAGAUGGAUAAAGUGAAGUGUGGUGAGGCGAAUAAACUUGCUCAAGGUCCCAGCUAUUAAAUGAAAGUGUGAGGGUUUGAGUCCAUAUGAUCCCCCUACCACCAAGUCCAGGUUUUCAAGCACAGAGCUAUAUUACUCUACUACAUCUUAUUCAACAAGCUGUUUCUACCCACAUGCAGUUUAACUUAUUCUUAUUAAUCUGUUUUUCUUAAAAAAAUUAUUAACUCUUCAGGCCACUUAUUAGGAAUCAAGAAUUCAUGAAAAGCCACAAAUACCCAUUUUGUACCUUUUACAUCAGUUUAUUUAUAUACACAGAAAACUCUUUUUCAGCAUAUACACACGUAUACAUACACACUGCAUUAUGACAUCCAGGGCAUUUAUCUAGGAUACCUGGAAGUGAAAUUCAGAUUGUUAAUAUAUUCUGGCCACUUAAGUUAACAAAACUGUCAUGCAUAUGAUAUCCACUUCUAAAAAAAUUGAAAUAAACUUGACACUAAAACUGUA